GUGAGAUGGGAGAGAGAGCCUGGGUGUGCGUGCGUGCAAUUUCUCGACCUAAGACAUUUGCCUGUGGACUGGUGCGUUCUCGAGUUCUCAGGAAGUCUCUAUGUAUGGCCUUGACUCAAACACAAAGGGCUUGAUGUUGCUGUGUUCUUCCCUUACCUGGCCAUUAAAGGGGAAUGCAAACACUUCAGGAGUAGAUCUAAGCAAAGAGAUAUAUAUAUAUAUAUAUAUUCAAUCCACUAAUACUAAACGUGCAUUUAACAUGAAAACAUCUCUAUAUUUAGUGUUUUGAUGGUCGACCAGGUUUAUUUGAGCAAUGAUCAGCACCAUUUUAAAUUGCCAUAGAAACGACUGACGCCAGUGCGUCACUGGCAGGAAUCAGCAAAUUGUCUGUGGUAUUGAAUUUGCGCACGGAGUGAAUCGAAGAGAGUGAGUGAGGAUAGGCGUUGACAAUGAAGAUGGCGACAACAAGUGGCAAUUCAAACAGCCCCCGGCUGUAUGAAUUGGCUCCAAAAAAUCCCUCUAAACUUCCAUCGGCUGCCCAAGGACCUACAACUUUUGAAGAAGUGGCUCCAUGUCCUGAAGAGGAAGGACGUGCCAGCUCGAGCUUGCAGGAUCUGCAGACAGCACUUCGGAGGGAGACUUCACGAUGAAGGGCCAGGCUAGCGUUUGACACGAGAUGAAGGAUGACAUCUUCAUCCCUGAAAUGUUUUCAUCCUAGAGGAGCCUGUGCAGGAGGCAGAGGUGGUACUUGCAAAUCUGUGUUAUUUCUAAGGCUAUUGUUUAUUUCAAGUAUAUGCAGUAAUUCUAUUUAACUAGCCUAAUAGAUGCCUUAAUUGUUUUCUUCCAACAGGAAGGUACAGUUAGUGCAGCAUGCCAAACUGACCACCUGGUGCCAGAGUGUUCCUGUGCUGCGGUGGAGAAGAAGUCCAGCGGGACCAUCACUAAAGAGCUCUGGGCCCAGCUAGAUUGCGCUCAGAACCAUCAGUAUACAAUCGAGUCCUGCCCCUAUAUGCCACAGAUGGAGCUGACGGAGAGUGAGAUCAGUGAAGACCAUAACUCGCUGUAUGGACCUGAGAGCUCAGAAUCACAAUCAUCUCAGUGUGAGCCAAGAUAUACUAUCAAUCACUUUGGGGAAGCGGGAUGGUGUUCCGAAAAUGGAGAAGGAGCAGGCCAUUCAACAGCCAAUUCAAAGAUACACCCAUCCAUAAAGGGAAUCCGAGUGGAAUAGUUUUCCCGCUUAUGUUUUUUUUUAAACUCUUUUCAAUGGAUGUGCUACCUACCUUGUCCCAGUUCUGCUGUUUCGACUCUCUCAACCUAUGAAUGCUCAGCUAUGAAAAGCCAACUGACAUUUGCUUCUGAAGUGUUGAACUGUUGCACCCUCUAACCACUCUGGUUAUUAUUUUGAUGUAAAAGGAGCUUUUGUAAAAAUACAAUUGAUUGUUUGCUGUGCUGGAUGCUGUGUAUUCACUGUCUGAGUGAUGGGACAUUUUUAUAGUAUCUGUAGCAUAUUUUGGUGUGUAUUUAAUCUACAUUUUAACUUCUUAAUGUGGCAUUCAGCUGUAGAAACAACAACAGAGGCCCCCUGCUCUUCUUUUGGUAAAAAGCUGAGGGAUAGGGCCGGAGAAAUGUAAGCCCUCUCAAAUUCAUAGACAGAGUUAUAGAUGCAAGGACUGACCAUCCAUGAUAUCAAAAUUGUGAUCUGUUUCCACUACCAUGUACCCAGUUUGCUUUGGAUAAAGGUGUCUGCUAAAUGGCA